CGAUAUCAAGAAAUUGUCUGUUCAAAUAUUACUAAUUCUUGGGAACUUCCAGAGCAACAUGGCGCACACUGCCUUUAUUGGUCCCUGAAAGGGAGAAAGACACUUUUUUAGUAACCUGUGCUGGUGUCAUCACAUGCGGCCUGAGAUCACUGAGGGGGAUGUUCUCCAAAAUGUGCAAAGUGUAGGUGAGUUUGCCGCACUGCCUUUGUGAUCCAGAUUCCUGCAUCAGUUCACAUGAAACUGAAAUGGAGACAAUGGUAAUUUCUGGGUGAAGAAUACAUGAGGAAGGAGACACAAUUAAAGAAUUACAUCAAAUACACUGGAGUAAUGGUUUCAGUGAGAAAAGAGCCUGCCCUGGGGAUCAACACGCACAGAUGUGACUGUCCCAAGGUUGCUGGGUGGCCUGGAACUUCUUGGUGCAGAUUCUCCAGAAUGGGUGCCCUGGCCUUAGCUCUGAAAAUGACCCUUUUCCAGGCCACACUAUGUGUUGCUUCAACAGCACUAAACCCAAGUAAUGGGCUCAUUAAGCAUUGCCGUGUGACUCCGUAGAAUCUGCAAUGAAACCAAAGACCACUUCUCCAGUGUCUAUUUUCUUCCCCGAUAUGCUUACACUUUUUGGAGGUAAUACCAAGACGUCGAGCGAGGCAC
rnacentral:lncRNA from 1 species